UGAAAUAUUAGCUGAUUUUUAUGUAUAAAAACUUAAGAAAACCGGUCUGUAUGUUACCAGAAGUUGAAAUGUUUUUGCGGCACACCUUCAGUGAUCGUGUAGGCCAGAAAGAAGAAGAAAAUAAGUGGUGACUGUGUCGCAGUUCUAUGUCCUCUACAAGUAUCUGGCUCCAGGGGAACAUGAGCCACAUGCUUGUGUAGCCAAUUCAACACAGGACAGAUAUACAUGUACACACUGAUUGUGUUGGCGCAAGUUUUGUUAACUUCAGAUAGUCUCAACGGAUUGCACGAUUGAACUUGCAAAAACCAGUGGCCAAUGCCAACUCCCUUGUUGUCGCAAAUGAGAGGCGCUCCUAAAUCUUCUUCGCACAGGCCAGAUUCCUUCUCAUUGGUACAUAUCAAACGAAGAUAUUCAUUACUA